UACAUGGGGUGCAAACGUUGCUCGGAAUUAUUGGGCGUAAAGCGCACGUAGGUGGUCGUUUAAGUCGGAUGUGAAAGCCCUCGGCUCAACUGAGGAAGUGCAUCCGAAACUGAGCGGCUUGAGUAUGGAAGAGGGUCGCGGAAUUCCCGGUGUAGCAGUGAAAUGCGUAGAUAUCGUAAGGAAGACCAGUGGCGAAGGCGGGUCUCUGGACAGUUCCUGACGCUGAGGCACGAAGGCCAGGGGAGCAAACGGG
rnacentral:rRNA from 1 species